UACGGAGGGUGCGAGCGUUGUCCGGAAUCAUUGGGCGUAAAGGGCGCGUAGGUGGCGGGACAAGCGUGCGGUGAAAGCCUGGGGCUCAACCCCGGGUCGGCCGUGCGAACUGUUUUGCUUGAGCACUGUAGAGGCAGGCGGAAUUCCGGGUGUAGCGGUGGAAUGCGUAGAGAUCCGGAAGAACACCGGUGGCGAAGGCAGCUCGCUGGGACGUUACUGACGCUGAGACGCGAAAGCGUGGGGAGCAAACAGG
rnacentral:rRNA from 1 species